GUCCCGAUAGCUCAGCUGGAUAGAGCAGCAGCCUUCUAAGCUGCAGGUCGGUGGUUCGAAUCCACCUCGGGACG
rnacentral:tRNA from 2 species